AAGUCAUAACAAGGUUUCUGUAGGUGAACCUGCAGAAGGAUCAUUAUUGAAUUGUAAAAACGGGGCGUUGCUUUCGAGCACGCCUCUACAUUCAUAUCCUAAACACCUGUGAACCGUUGCUGAGCUCGCUCAGUGGCACACUUUACACACUAUAAAGUUUUGAACGUAAAAAAACAAAAAACAAAAAAUAACUUUUGACAACGGAUCUCUUGGUUCUC
rnacentral:misc_RNA from 1 species